AAACUGAACUCACUUGAGCCAGUUCUAUGAUGGAGUGCUACACCCAGCAAAGGACAUGGACCAAGAGAGAGACCGAAUACCUGAAAAGAGGGACUCCAGGAGUUCCUGGGACCCUGGCAAUGAGAAAUCUGAAGAACAGAGGUGUUGGGGGGCAGGAAGAUAGUCAGAGAACUGUGUCACCAUCACACUGAAAGGUCCUCAACGAGGCUUCCUCAUACAGUGGACAAUACUGAGAGGGUAUGGAGCACUGUUGAAUCCAGAGGACUGCUUUGUGCUAACUCAGCAAGGAAAAUAUGUUCCAGAAACGGAACAUCAAUGUUUACGUUGUAAUAAUCCAAAUGCUGUCUGCUGAUGUGAGAAGAUGUUUGGACAUCUGACAGAAUCAUGAAGAACAUUCCCAAAGGCCAACACUCCCCUAAGAUGCAUCCAGUGGAGCUGGGAAGACGAUGCAAACUCAAGCUGGGAAGAGGAUGCAAACUCAAGCUGGGAAGACGAUGCAAACUCAAGCCCACGUUACCUCCCACUUCCAGUGGAGAACAUGAUCAUAAAAAGGAAUAAGCAGUUACCAUCAGUGUUUGUCCCUUCCAUCAGAGGCUGAAAUCACAGAUCUUGGCUAAGGAAUACAGUAGGUUGCAUCUUCUCCUGUCCUUUGUUCAUAGUUAGAUCAAAGCCUUCAGUUCAGCUCUGCUGUGAGCUUUCACAAGGACUUCACUACUCUGGUCUUCUUUUUGUUCAACGGAAGGCACUAGUCACUCUUCUACAACCUUAAGACUGUACUGAUCAGCUGUUUUGGCUCCCCUGACAGUUUGACCAAAAUAUGACAAGGAUGUGAGCUCCAAGGAACAGAAAAGGAGCCAGGAUCAGUCAACCCCAUAUACUAAUGGGUUAGACACCGUGGGACUCAUUAAGAUGGUCACAUCCUGCUUCUCCACAGUGGACUUCUGGCAGUUGAGACUCUCAAGCCAUGUGCACACAAACCAUCAGAUAGUGGGUACCACUUGAGUCUCUCCACAAUCUCCCUAGACUGGCAUGUCUGCCAACAACUACUUCAUGGCUUACACAUCCCACAGGAGAAUACAGUCAUCAUAGCUCCAGUAGCCAGAAUAUGCUCCUCCUGGGUUUGCUCUGGAUGCUACACACACCCAGGGAGUGUCUCUAAAUGAACAGAGGUUCUCAGGCAGAAUCAUGGAGGGUCUAUGCCCAAGCUCCGAGCCUGGAGCCAGGUACCUUUCCCUAGUGGAAACCAAUCUGCCAAGCACCCUGGUAUCCUGCUUCUCAGUAGACCUUCAUUUCCCCCUUGUACGUCGCCUGUCAGAGCAGCCUUACAGAUCCAAUGGCAUUUGUCAAGCCUACAGAAUCAUGGCCAGCCACUGGGAUGUGGCAUUUCAUGUCCAGGAUGGCAAAAUUAUCCUUUUUUGGACCUCAGUCAAAGGGUCAGCAGCAUUGUCAUUGUUGAAACUCUAGACUUAUGCUUACUGGUAGAUUUAAAUUGGUAAUAGUCCAUAAAUGGCUUCUUCGUUUACAUUCAUGGAGAUACUUGCCUAUAAAUUUCUCAUAAUGUC